GGAGCGCUUGUCGGCAUUAUAUGGCGUUCAGCGCAAGUCCACAACAGACCUGUUCGGUAACCAUAGGGGAGGGUCACUGGGGAACUCUACCCACUGUGGCAUCCUGGGUUAGCCCGAAAGGAAUACCUGAGACAUGUUUUUAUAAGAUCCUGCAUGGUUUCAAGGACCAGGUCGCCCAAGAGAACUGGCAGCAGUUCUCUGAACAGUUCCCUCCUUUGUUCAAGGAGCGCUUGUCGGCAUUAUAUGGCGUUCAGCGCAAGUCCACAACAGACCUGUUCGGUAACCAUAGGGGAGGGUCACUGGGGAACUCUGUGAAGGAGCGCUUGUCGGCAUUAUAUGGCGUUCAGCGCAAGUCCACAACAGACCUGUUCGGUAUGUUCUGAAAUCAUCACUUUUGCUCACAAGUAUUGUCUUUCUGGAGAUGAUGACAAACCCAGCUCAUUGAUAACGCAAUGAAAAAUCUUUGUUCCAACCUUUAUCUGAUCCAGAACAUUACAUGACGUUAGCCACCAAUUUCGUGUUCAGCUCUUCUGCUAAUUCUUAUCCUUUUUGUCUGCUAUGCAGGUAACCAUAGGGGAGGGUCACUGGGGAACUCUGUGAAGGAGCGCUUGUCGGCAUUAUAUGGCGUUCAGCGCAAGUCCACAACAGACCUGUUCGGUAACCACAGGGGAGGGUCACUGGGGAACGCUACCCACUGUGGCAUCCUGGGUUAGCCCGAAAGAAUACCUGAGACAUGUUUUUAUAAGAUCCUGCAUGGUUUCAAGGACCAGGUCGCCCAAGAGAACUGGCAGCAGUUCUCUGAACAGUUCCCUCCUUUGUUCAAGGAGCGCUUGUCGGCAUUAUAUGGCGUUCAGCGCAAGUCCACAACAGACCUGUUCGGUAACCAUAGGGGAGGGUCACUGGGGAACUCUGUGAAGGAGCGCUUGUCGGCAUUAUAUGGCGUUCAGUGCAAGUCCACAACAGACCUGUUCGGUAACCAUAGGGGAGUGUCACUGGGGAACUCUGUGAAGGAGCGCUUGUCUGCAUGCUAUGGCGUUCAGCGUUAGUCCACAACAGACCUGUUCGGUAACCAUAGGGGAGGGUCACUGGGGAACUCUGUGAAGGAGCGCUUGUCGGCAUUAUAUGGCGUUCAGCGCAAGUCCACAACAGACCUGUUCGGUAACCACAGGGGAGGGUCACUGGGGAACGCUACCCACUGUGGCAUCCUGGGUUAGCCCGAAAGAAUACCUGAGACAUGUUUUUAUAAGAUCCUGCAUGGUUUCAAGGACCAGGUCGCCCAAGAGAACUGGCAGCAGUUCUCUGAACAGUUCCCUCCUUUGUUCAAGGAGCGCUUGUCGGCAUUAUAUGGCGUUCAGCGCAAGUCCACAACAGACCUGUUCGGUAACCAUAGGGGAGGGUCACUGGGGAACUCUGUGAAGGAGCGCUUGUCGGCAUUAUAUGGCGUUCAGUGCAAGUCCACAACAGACCUGUUCGGUAACCACAGGGGAGGGUCACUGGGGAACUCUACCCACUGUGGCAUCCUGGGUUAGCCCGAAAGGAAUACCUGAGACAUGUUUUUAUAAGAUCCUGCAUGGCUUCAAGGACCAGGUCGGCUAAGAGAACUAGCAGCAGUUCUCUGAACAGUUCCCUCCUUCGUUGAAGGAGCGCUUGUCGGCAUGCUAUGUCGUUCAACGUUAGUCCACAACAGACCUGUUCGGUAACCAUAGGGGAGGGUCACUGGGGAACUCAUUCACUGCCCAGCGUAGUGGGACAAACCAUGCAGAGGCAACGUGACGGCCUCCACUUGGCAAAGGGUCUUCUCCCCCCCCCCCCCCCCUUUCCCUGUGCCCUGUGACUGUUUGGUUUGUCUUAGACCUUUCUCCUCUCGUCCGAGUAGUCCUCAUCAGGAGCGCUAGUGAGACUGGUUGCAGCUGUGGUCCCUAUUGACUCGAAUGUGCCUAUUUCCUUUCACUUCUGGAUAUUUUUGCAACUUUAUUAGCUAGAUAAAUGUCAGAUCAUAUUAUAUUGCCUCUACUCCACACCACAAUUACUGUGAUUAUGUAUUAAUAUUUUGAAAUUGCAAAUCGAAUCCAUACAGUUGCUGUCUUGCAGAGACCAGUGGUCCUUACCAGUAGGGGCGCUAGUGAAAUUGGUCCUGAUGCUGGUCUGGUCUAACCUGACUCUCGUCAGAUCCUUGUACCACACAUUGAUCUGGGAGUUCUCAAUAGGAGAUGUAUUUCAGAAGGCGGGGCCUUGUAAAAAAAAUAAUUGUAUGUGAUUGGAUAAAUCACUUGUCUUGAAUGACAUGCUACUUCAACCCCUCACAUCAAAAUCAACCCGUGACGCUGAUGAGAGCGACGCCGGGAAAUCCAAACCCGGUCGGAAGAAGAGCCAAUAAAUGCCACCAAUAAAUGCCUUCAAAACA